rnacentral:misc_RNA from 1 species
AUACUAGUAAAAUUUAUCUACUUCCGUUCAUAAGAUUCACUCAAUGCAACUUUUUUAAUGUCAUAAUAAAAGGGCUAAUAUAAAAGAAACUGUGGACAGCAAAUAAUGUGUUAUUUAUAUUUAUUGAAUUCUAUUCAAGAAAAUACAAAAAAAAUGAGAGAUAACUGGUUGAGUUAAAUACCAGUGAUUUGAUUUUAUUUAUAUUUACUUUUCGAUUAACUCUCAGCACAUGUUUAUUAAUCAUGAGUUGGGACUGGGAAGCCUUGUGUGGAAACAGUUCGAAAUUUACUGUUUGGAAAGGUGACGAUUUUGGAAAAUGUUUUGAACAAAUGGCUUUUAAUUUGCCAACAAGCUUCUUCAUCUUGAUUAUAACUGCAUUUCAUCUUGGCAAAAACUAUGGAACAGCAGUGAGAGGAAUCAUACCCUGCAGUCCAACUCUUCACAUUCGCUUUUAUAUAUCGAUGGGACUAUUUAUAUGUCCUCUAAUUAACACUCUAUUGCUUAAAUUUUAUUUGAAAAUUAAUAGUCCAUUGAUUUCAAUGAUUUCUUCAACAAUCAGCUGUGUUACUUGGUGUCUUCAUAGUUUGUUUGUAUGGAAAUUAAGAAGAUAUUAUAGAUUGAAGAUCAGUGGACCAUUUAUAAUAACGAUAGGAAUUAUUUUAAAGUGUGCCUUUUACGUAAUUAAACUUAGAAGCGUAUUAAAGGAAACUGACAGUUUUACAAUCGUUGAACGGUAUAUUUCUUAUGUGCAAGCGUCCUUAAUUGCAAUAUAUAUUUUGACUCUGAUACCGUGUCAAAGACCCUCAAUUAGCUCUGGAAUACAAGUCCGUAUACUUAAUGACAGUGAAACAAGUUAUUUCGAUAAUGACAAUGAUAUUUGUACUAUGGUGCUAGAAAGACCUCUUGCUCCCCUCGGGAGAGCGGAAGAAAAUUGCUCAGUAAUUAGCAGAUUAACGUUUCACUGGGUUCAAUCUUUAAUGGCUCGAGGGGCUUCAAAGAAAAUUGACAACUCGGAAAACUUAUUUGACCUUCCGGAAAAGAUGACUGCAUCUUAUGUGGAGGAGUACUUUAAGGAAAAUAGUAGGGGAAGAAAUAACGAUAAAAGAUCCCUUCUGUCCAACCUAAAUCGUACUUUUGGCAAAGAGUUUUACCCAUUAGGUUUAUUAAAAUUUUUUGCAGACGCGCUGGGCUUUUUGGGUCCUCUUCUUUUAAACUGGUUAGUGAUUUUCAUGGAAAAACCAAAUGAACCCAGAUGGCAUGGCUAUAUCUACGCUGCGGGGUUGUUCAUUACGGCCUUCCUUACCGCCUUAUUAACAAGUCAUUUUAAUUAUCUUGUUACCGUUGUGUCACUAAAAAUGAGAGCUUCAUUGAUAUCUUCAAUUUAUGCAAAAUCUUUAAAAACUUCAACAGUUUCACUAUCCAAAUUCAACACUGGUCAAAUAGUUAAUUAUAUGAGUACAGAUGUGGAUAGAAUAGUCAACUUUUGUAUAAGUUUUCAUCAAUUUUGGAGUUUACCCUUCCAAAUCGCUGUUUCGCUAUGGCUUUUAUAUCUACAAGUUGGAGUUUCCUUUCUGGCAGGUUUAGCUUUCGCCAUUUUAUUGAUACCUAUCAACAGAUAUUUAGCCAAUGCCAUAGGAAGAUUAAGUAACGAUAUGAUGAAUCAUAAGGACGCAAGAGUAAAGUUGAUGUCUGAAAUUUUACACGGUAUUCGAAUAAUUAAAUUCUAUGCUUGGGAGGAUAUUUUCUCAGAUAAAAUUAAUAAUUUACGAUCAAAGGAAUUAAAGAGCCUAAAGGGGAGGAAAUACUUGGAUGCUUUUUGCGUUUAUUUUUGGGCAACAACACCAGUUUUAAUUUCUAUUCUAACAUUUACAACUUAUGCUAUAUCCGGUCAUGAGCUGACAGCCGCUAGGGUUUUUACAAGCUUAGCUUUGUUUAAUAUGUUAAUUAGUCCAUUAAACGCAUUUCCCUGGGUGUUGAAUGGUUUAAUGGAAGCUUGGGUAUCCCUGAAAAGAGUUCAACAGUAUGAUGAUUUAGAAGAGAAAAAUUGGAACAAUCACUACAAUUCAAAGCACAAUGAUUCGACAGAUAUUAUAUCAGUUGAUAAUGCAACAUUCAUAUGGAAUAAGCCUACAGAAGAAGAAGAGACCCUAUUAAAACUCAGAGAUAUUUCACUAAACAUUAAAAAAGGAAGUUUUGUUGGUUUAACUGGACCAGUUGGCUGCGGUAAAUCAUCCUUAUUCUCAGCUAUAUUAGGGGAAAUGGAAAUGAUCAAAGGUCAUUUGUCUUUUUCACCCGAUAUUAAUGGGAUAUCAUUGCAAACUCAGGAAGCUUGGAUUCAGCACGGUACUGUACAACAAAACAUCUUAUUCGGGAAUGAGUUGGACGAUCGAUUCUAUCACAGAGUUCUCGAUUCUUGCGCUCUUCUUCCCGAUCUCGAAAUACUACCAGCUGGCGAUGAAACAGAAAUUGGAGAAAACGGCGUAACGUUAAGUGGAGGACAAAAGGCACGCAUAUCCCUUGCCAGAGCUAUUUAUCAAAAUAAAGACGUAAUUUUCAUGGAUGACCCAUUUGCAGCAGUCGAUUCUCAUGUUGCUAAACAUAUAUAUUCAAGUUGUUUAAUGGGAUUAUUAUCUGGCAAAACAAGAUUUUUGAGUACUCAUCAUACAAAAUUUUUACGCAAUGCUGAUGUGGUUAUAGUAAUGAAAGAUGGAAAGAUCGAUAAAAUUGGAAGACCUUGCGAUGUGCUACAAGAUCAAACAGCUAUUCCCUCUUCGACAGUUUGCAAGAAUACGCAUAAUGCAAACUACGGAAAUAUGCAAAACAACAAGGAGAAUGGCAUUCUAGUUAAAGAGGAAGUCAAAGAAAAGGGAACUGUUCGUCUUUCAGUUUAUUUUCAAUAUUGGAAGGCAGUUGGUACUAUAUUAGCAUCUUUCGUUAUGCUAUCACUAUUCCUUAUGCAAGGUAUUCUACAUGAUAAUUUCGAUAAGAUAGAUUCUCAUGAAAGCUUAAUGUAUAUUCCUUUUCUGAAGCAUCAAAGAAUGUCAAUGAUUGGUGGCUUUCGUAUUGGGUUACGCAUACUAAAGGCAAUGAUACGGAUAGUAUCUCUCCUUUUCACGAAAAUAGAAUUAAGGAAGAUAAAAGUACUCUAUAUCUCUUAGCGUCUGGAUUGCCUCAUGACGUCUAUAGGUUGUUACAAAAAGUUUAAUAAUUAUUAAUUAAGUAAUCUUUAUCAAUAUAAACAAAUAUGUCCCAGAACUAGUAACUUUUAUUACUUGAGAAAUGACUUGGAGAAGCAUGGAAACGAAACGCAUGCAAAUGUAAAAUUCUAUCUAACCAUAUAUGGAAUAUUAGCUGGAUUUAAUACUCUAUUUACGCUUGCCAGAGCGUUUCUAUUCGCAUAUGGUGGUAUUCAAGCCGCAAGAGUAUUGCACAAUCGUCUACUAAAGAGUAUAUUAGCGGUAUAGUAUUUUGAUUAAAUGUAUAGCUUUUAAAAAUAACUAUUACACAGGCAUCGAUAAACUUUUUCGACACAACUCCCGUCGGUCGGAUAAUAAAUCGUUUCUCCUCUGACAUCUAUUCGAUAGACGAUAGUUUACCAUUUAUUGCGAAUAUUCUCUUGGCGCAAAUUUUCUCUUUAAUCGGUACUCUUGUGAUAACUUGCUACGGAUUACCUUGGUUUGCCGUUGUUAUUUUACCUAUUGCUGUAAUAUACUAUACAAUUCAGGUUGUUUUUAUUUACAUUUUUCAAUCGUGAGUAUCAGAAACAUUUGAUUAUCUUUUUUUAGAAAUACUACCGACAUACUUCGAGGGAAGUUAAGCGUAUUACAAGUGUAACUUUAUCUCCUAUUUACGUUCACUUUUCCGAAACUUUACGUGGAUUGAGUUUAAUUAGAGCAAUGCGUCAUGUUUCAAGGUUUCAAGAGGAAAACAGAGAAAAACUUGACAAAAAUCAACAAGGAAGAUUAUCUAUGGCAGCCGUCUCUGUGUGGCUUGGAUUUAGAUUACAGUUAUUAGGUGUUGCAAUGUUAACUUCAGUAGCAUUAUGUGCUGUUCUACAGCACCAAGAGAAAUCCUCUCAACCAGGAUUAAUUGGAUUAGCUCUUUCCUAUGCUUUAGCAGUCACAAACAUACUAAGUGGAGCCGUUACUUCAUUCACUCAAACGGAACAGGAACUAGUUGCUGUUGAGAGAGCCUGUCAGUAUAUAGAUAAUGCUGAUGCAGAACAAGAUCCAAUUGAGACAGAUGAUGUUCACCAAGAUUGGCCUUCGCAAGGAUCUUUGAACUUUGAUGGUGUCUAUGCUAAUUACAGAACCAACUUGCCGGAUGCUAUCAAGAAUGUGUCAUUUUCUAUAAACAGUGGAGAGAAAAUAGGUAUAGUGGGAAGGACAGGAGCUGGAAAGUCGUCUCUCUUCUUAAUUCUUUACAGACUUUUAGAAGUUCGUAGGGGUAUCGUAACUAUUGACGAUGUGGAUAUAACUAGCAUAAGUAGACGGAAACUACGAAAACAACUAAGUAUUAUACCUCAGGACCCAUUUCUUUUUAGUACAUCAGUUAGAGAUAAUCUGGACGCGGAAGAACGCUUGACUGAUAGUUCGCUCUGGGAGGUUCUGGAGCGUUGUCAACUUAGUUCUGUUGUAAAAAGGCUUGGAGGUUUGUCUGCCGAUGUUGGUGAAGGUGGAAAGAACCUUUCCGUUGGAGAGAAGCAAUUGCUUUGUUUGGCGAGAGCUUUAUUAACAGAUUCCAAAAUUAUUUGUAUAGACGAGGCCACUGCUAGUGUUGAUAGUGAAACGGAUCUAAUUGUUCAUUCAACUCUUAGGGAAGAAUUUCAUAAUCGUACCAUAUUGACAAUUGCUCACAGACUAGACACAAUUAUGAAGUCUGAUCGAAUUUUAGUUAUGGAUAAGGCAACCGUCAAAGAAUUUGAUAAACCUCAAACUUUAUUGAAUAAGCCUAAUAGCCUAUUUUCUGGGCUGUUGCAAGGUCGCUCAACAUUUAAAAAUUGAAAUAACUGCAAAAUUAGACUGCUUUACUGGAUAAAUCUAUAUACUAAUAUAUAUACUUGCAACCUUUCCAAAGAAAACAUGUGUCAACAGAAACUGAUUUUCCAAUUGCUUUUGUAUAAGCUAAUAGAUUUGCAUCAGCAAUAUACAGUAUAUAUAAAUCUA